rnacentral:misc_RNA from 1 species
GAUGAAGAACGUAGCGAAAUGCGAUACUUGGUGUGAAUUGCAGAAUCCCGUGAACCAUCGAGUCUUUGAACGCAAGUUGCGCCCGAAGCCAUUAGGCCGAGGGCACGCCUGCCUGGGCGUCACACGUCGUUGCCCCCCCAUCUACUCCUUCGGGAUUGCGGGGGGCGGAUGAUGGCCUCCCGUGCGCCUUGUCGCGCGGUUGGCAUAAAUGCCAAGUCCUCGGCGACGCACGCCACGACAAUCGGUGGUUGCGAAACCUCGGUUGCCCGUCGUGUGCGGUCGUCGCGCAUCGAGGGCUCGAAAAAAGUGUCGGGCUCCGGCUCGGCUUUCAACGCGACCCCAGGUCAGGCGGGGUUACCCGCUGAAUUUAAGCAUAUCAAUAAGCGGAGGA